rnacentral:rRNA from 1 species
ACGGCUCAGUAACACGUAGCUAACCUACCCUCGGGACGGGGACACCCCCGGGAAACUGGGACUAAUCCCCGAUAGGCGUGGAGGCCUGGAAUGGUUCCACACUCAAAUGGGCGUCGACCACGUUUGGCGCCUGCCCGAGGAUGGGGCUGCGGCUGAUCAGGCAGUUGGCGAGGUAACGGCUCACCAAACCUUUGACCAGUACGGGCCAUGAAAGUGGAAGCCCGGAGAUGGACACUGAGAUAGGGGUCCAGGCCCUACGGGGCGCAGCAGGCGCGAAAACUCCACAAUGUACGGAAGUACGAUGGGGUUACCUCGAGUGCAGUCUGAAAAAGGUUGCUUUUCCAUAGAGUAAUAUCCUGUGGGAAUAAGAGGGGGGCAAGACUGGUGUCAGCCGCCGCGGUAACACCAGCCCCUCGAGUGGUGGGGACUAUUAUUUGGCCUAAAGCGUCCGUAGCCGGCUGUAACCGUCUCCCGUCAAAUCCAGCGUCUCAAGCGUUGGACUGCGGGUGAUACCUUGCAGCUUGAGGGUGGGACAGGUGAGCGGUAUUUCCGGGGUAGGGGCGAAAUCCUUUGAUCCCGGGAGGACCACCAGUGGCGAAGGCUGCUCACUAGAACACGCCUGACGGUCAGGGACGAAAGCUGGGGUAGCGAACCGGAUUAGAUACCCGGGUAGUCCCAGCUGUAAACGAUGCGCGCUAGGUGUUGGGUCGGCCAUGAGCCGCCCCAGUGCCGCAGGGAAACUGUUAAGCCUGCCGCCUGGGGAGUACGGUCGCAAGAUUGAAACUUAAAGGAAUUGGCGGGGGAGCAC